CUUGGUUUAAUUAAAGCUUGGGUGUUGGUUUUGAUUAACAGCAUUGCCUACCCUCUACCUCACGUCGUCAUUGGAUGAUGAAAUGAAAUGUUUGUGCUCAAGAUAUGGAGGAUGCUCAUCUUUGAAAUUAAGAAAGUGGAAUUAAACUGGUCUUGCUUGGAGAUCAAAAACAUAAUUAAAGCUUGCAACUUUUCUUGUUCCUGAAUUGCUGUGAGAUAGAUAUUCUUGAUCCUACAGUUAUUCUUUGUAGAUAUAGAUUUCCAAGUUUUG
rnacentral:misc_RNA from 1 species